ensembl:lncRNA novel transcript
CUGAUACUGCAAGCACUUCAGAGUAUGUAUAAGCAAUUUCAGCUGGUUCCGUCCUGAUAUUUACAAAACUGCCUGGAUCAUACUUACAACCAUGCAAUGAUAUAUAUUUCUAUUAAGAAAGCAACGAUUUGCUUGAAAGAUGAAGGAAAACAAACUAAGUAUUUAUGUACAAUGAGUCCUAAGUGUACACCACUAUGUUUUCCAUCAGCUUUUGAUUUUCUGUCACUCCUCUUUUUCUUUGAAAUUUAGAGUCAGAAGUGAACUGACUUCAUGGUUUUCCUCAUGAUUAUUUGAUAUCCUCUAGGGAAUCAUGACUUAAAGACUGCAUUCUUCCUUCUCAAAACUCAUGUUAAAGAUUUCUCCAUGCAGAGCCACAGGCUAUUUUGGAGUUUGAAAUGGAGCAGUUAAAACUAGGAGGUCACACACGUUGAGAUUAUUCCUUCACUGCAUCUCGCCCGGCUUGUGUGCCUGAGGAGACACGCAUCUCAGAGGGCAGAGGGGCAGCCGUUGUCUAGUGAGGUUAUUUCACCUACUAUAUAAUAAAAUGUACAGGACAAUA